AGUCUUGUAUUCAAAAUGAUAUUAAAUUGCAAAUUUAAUGGUAAAGUUAACUUUUAAGGCUU
rnacentral:tRNA from 1 species